rnacentral:tRNA from 1 species
GCGCGUGUAGCUCAAUUGGAUAGAGCAUCGGUCUACGGAACCGAGGGUUGCGGGUUCGAGUCCUGCCACGCGCG